rnacentral:rRNA from 1 species
UUGAACGCUGGCGGCAGGCCUAACACAUGCAAGUCGAGCGGUAACACAAGGGAGCUUGCUCCUGAGGUGACGAGCGGCGGACGGGUGAGUAAUGCCUAGGUAUCUGCCCAGUCGAGGGGGAUAACAGUUGGAAACGACUGCUAAUACCGCAUACGCCCUACGGGGGAAAGAGGGGACCUUCGGGCCUUCCGCGAUUGGAUGAACCUAGGUGGGAUUAGCUAGUUGGUGAGGUAAUGGCUCACCAAGGCGACGAUCCCUAGCUGGUCUGAGAGGAUGAUCAGCCACACUGGAACUGAGACACGGUCCAGACUCCUACGGGAGGCAGCAGUGGGGAAUAUUGCACAAUGGGCAAAGCCUGAUGCAGCCAUGCCGCGUGUGUGAAGAAGGCCUUCGGGUGUAAAGCACUUUCAGCGAGAAGAAAGGUUAACGAUUAAUACUCGUUAGCUGUGACGUUACUCGCAGAAGAAGCACCGGCUAACUUCGU